AGAUACCGUCCUAGUUCUAACCAUAAACUAUGCCAGCCAGCGAUUCGGCUGUGUUCCUCAAAUGACACGCCGGGCAGCUUCCGGGAAACCAAAAGCUUUUGGGUUCCGGGGGAAGUAUGGUUGCAAAGCUGAAACUUAAAGGAAUUGACGGAAGGGCACCACCAGACAUGGAGCCUGCGGCUCAAUUUGACUCAACACGGGAGAACCUAUCCGGUCCGGACACAGGAAGGAUUGACAGAUUAAGAGCUCUUUCUUGAUUUUGUGGGUUGUGGUGCAUGGCCGUUCUUAGUUGGUGGAGCGAUUUGUCUGGUUAAUUCCGAUAACGAACGAGACUCUAGCCUAUUAAAUAGACGUCCCUAUGUCUUUUACGAGUGGGGCGGUCUUCUUAGAGGGACAAGCGGCUUUUAGCCGCACGAGACAGAGCAAUAACAGGUCUGUGAUGCCCUUAGAUGUCCGGGGCCGCACGCGCGCUACAUUGAAGGAAUCAGCGUGUGCUUCCCCGGUUCUACCGGACCGGGUAACCCCUUGAAUCUCCUUCGUGCUGGGGAUAGGGGCUUGUAAUUGUUCCCCUUGAACGAGGAAUGCCCAGUAAGCGCGAGUCAUUAGCUCGUGCUGAUUACGUCCCUGCCCUUUGUACACACCGCCCGUCGCUACUACCGAUUGAUUGUUUUAGUGAGGUCUUCGGACUGGCGCCCGGCUU
rnacentral:rRNA from 1 species